UCGAACGAUGAAGCCCUUCGGGGUGGAUUAGUGGCGAACGGGUGAGUAACACGUGGGCAAUCUGCCCUUCACUCUGGGACAAGCCCUGGAAACGGGGUCUAAUACCGGAUAACACUCCUUCCUGCAUGGGGAGGGGUUGAAAGCUCCGGCGGUGAAGGAUGAGCCCGCGGCCUAUCAGCUUGUUGGUGGGGUGAUGGCCUACCAAGGCGACGACGGGUAGCCGGCCUGAGAGGGCGACCGGCCACACUGGGACUGAGACACGGCCCAGACUCCUACGGGAGGCAGCAGUGGGGAAUAUUGCACAAUGGGCGAAAGCCUGAUGCAGCGACGCCGCGUGAGGGAUGACGGCCUUCGGGUUGUAAACCUCUUUCAGCAGGGAAGAAGCGAAAGUGACGGUACCUGCAGAAGAAGCGCCGGCUAACUACGUGCCAGCAGCCGCGGUAAUACGUAGGGCGCAAGCGUUGUCCGGAAUUAUUGGGCGUAAAGAGCUCGUAGGCGGCUUGUCACGUCGGAUGUGAAAGCCCGGGGCUUAACCCCGGGUCUGCAUUCGAUACGGGCUAGCUAGAGUGUGGUAGGGGAGAUCGGAAUUCCUGGUGUAGCGGUGAAAUGCGCAGAUAUCAGAGGAACACCGGUGGCGAAGGCGGAUCUCUGGGCCAUUACUGACGCUGAGGAGCGAAAGCGUGGGGAGCGAACAGGAU
rnacentral:rRNA from 1 species